UCUUUGGAUUGAAGGGAGCUC
rnacentral:siRNA from 1 species